rnacentral:tRNA from 1 species
GCAGUGAUGGUUCAGUGGUAGAAUUCUUGCCUUCCCCGCAGGAGACCUGGGUUUGAUUUCCAGCCAAUAUA